AGUGGCAUUGCCGGGUAGCUAUGUUCGGAAGCGAUAACCGCUGAAAGCAUCUAAGCGGGAAGCGCGCCUCAAGAUGAGAUCUCCCGGGGCACAAGCCCCCUGAAGGAACCAUGUAGACUACGUGUUGAUAGGUCAGGUGUGUAAGUACAGCAAUGUAUUGAGCUAACUGAUACUAAUGAUCCGAGAGGCUUGACCAUAUAACCUCA
rnacentral:rRNA from 1 species